CAUUUGCUGACUGUGUCAGUAAAUGCCCAUAGUGGGUGGUCAUUCCCUAAAGCGGAAAGGGAAAUACACAGUUGUAAAAUGCACUGUUGCCUUCUUGAAUUUAGGGAAACUUUUUAUUUUGAUUUAAUGAGAACAUUAGAAGUACUUGGGAAUCAACUAUUUCAGAGGGGACUUGGUGGAAAGUGGCUUGUAGAUCUGAGGCCUCCUUGCCACUUCCCUACUCUUAGCCCUAAUGUUCAUCAUUCCCCUCCACCAUUGACUUAACCGUCACCCCUUAGUUUGGGGAGGCUGCUAUCCAUUCCAUGGAGUAUACUGUAAAUGUCUAUCUUUCCCAUGGCUAAGCAUUCCUUCUUGGGGGCUUGUUCUAGAUAUUGUAGAGCUGAUGCUCCUGGGAAUGGCUUGACUGGAGUAUCCAAGGGGGGAAAUAACUCUUAGUAUGGAAUGGUGCUCCUCUACACCCUGCCUUCCUCUUCUGCUCUGAUGCCUAAUGGUACAUUCCAAGCUUACUCUCACUUGGCAAGAUCAUGUGUUUGGAUAACAUGGGAAGGAUUGUGUAUCCCAGGCCCGUGCAUCUCAGUACUUAGCUUUGUCCCUGAGUUUUCUUGCCCCCCAGAAAAUCACUUUUCAUAUGCAGGUGGCUGCAAUUAAGGGUGAGGCCAGGAGCAGCAUUCCUUCUCAUGCUUUGCAUGAAACUUGUGUCCCUCUCCCUCUGCUGCUGCAGAAGGGCUGAAAGACCCUACUGAAGUUAGAAUAAUUCUCUGCAAGUUCCACAUGUGAGGAUUCCUUCCAGAGUCUGGCACGUGUGAACCAUGCAAACAUCAUGAUCUUGGCCCUGAGUGAGACUCUUGUGAGCAUGCUGUGUGAAGAUGCACUGUAUGCUGGGGAGGGCUGAGCAGGACAGCAGUUUCUAACAUGCAGUUAACUGUUAGCAAAGAAGUUGCUUUUCUUUGCAGUGGGUGCAGGGGGAGAAACUGGAAGGAAAAUGUGACAUACAAACUCAGUGCCAGAGGUGGUAAGCUCUGGUUUAUCACUUUCAGCUGAAUGUGCUUAAGUUGGAGUAUGAUUUCUGUUAAUGCAGAACUAUUUAGUUCAGAAAGAAUGUAGUUGUUUGAGUCCUUUUGCAGCUUUUGGUUUUCAAAGUUAAUUCUGAGUUCAGUGUGAGACCAGGUCAGAACAGGUCAACUAGCUUUUCCCCCUUGUUAAAAUAUUUCUGUAUNAGGUCAACUAGCUUUCCCCCCUGUUAAAAUAUUUCUGUAUAAUUUUAUAAACUGUUUGUGAUUUGACUAAACCAAUGAGGUCUUUUAUGUUAGUGUCAUGGAGAGGAGCAGCACCCAGAUAUGUACUGUUGCUUUCCAGCUUCUGAGGGUAAGGAGAUGGGCCAGCCUAGGUUUUCAGCCUAAUAAUGAGACACUGUGUUGGGCCCCAGUCACAGUGUAUGCUCUAAUUCACAGCAAAG
rnacentral:lncRNA from 1 species